rnacentral:rRNA from 1 species
GUCUCUUCGGGGAUGAUUAAACCGGCGCACGGGUGAGUAACACGUGAGUGACCUGCCUUUUAGACUGGAACAACUUACCGAAAGGUGAGCUAAUGCCGGAUGAGUUAUAUAAGUGCAUGUUUAUAUAGGAAAAGUUGGGGAGACCUGACGCUGAAAGAUGGACUCGCGUCCCAUUAGCUAGUUGGUAGGGUAAUGGCCUACCAAGGCGACGAUGGGUAGCCGGCCUGAGAGGGUGGCCGGCCACACUGGGACUGAGACACGGCCCAGACUCCUACGGGAGGCAGCAGUGGGGAAUUUUGCGCAAUGCUCGUAAGAGUGACGCAGCGACGCCGCGUGAAUGACGAAGGCCUUCGGGUCGUAAAGUUCUUUCGACAGGGAAGAAAAUGCCUAUAAGUAACUGUGUAUGUAUUGACGGUACCUGUAUAAGCAGCCCCGGCUAACUCCGUGCCAGCAGCCGCGGUAAUACGGAGGGGGCGAGUGUUGUUCGGAGUGACUGGGCGUAAAGAGAACGUAGGCGGUGUUGUAAGUCAUUAGUCAAAGACUAGAGCUCAACUUUAGUAAGGCUAGUGAUACUAUAAUACUAGAGUAUCAGAGAGGAUUGCAGAAUUCCUGGUGUAGCGGUGAAAUGCGUAGAUAUCAGGAGGAAUACCGUUAGCGAAGGCGGCAAUCUGGCUGGAAACUGACGCUGAGGUGCGAAAGCGUGGGUAGCAAACAGGAUUAGAUACCCUGGUAGUCCACGCUGUAAACGAUGGAUGCUAGGUGUUGGGCUUUUAAGUUCAGUGCCGCAGCAAACGCGAUAAGCAUCCCGCCUGG